UACAGAGGGUGCAAGCGUUAAUCGGAAUUACUGGGCGUAAAGCGUGCGUAGACGGUUAUGUAAGUCGGGUGUGAAAGCCCCGGGCUCAACCUGGGAAUGCCAUUCGAGACUGCAUAGCUAGGGUGCGGAAGAGGGAAGCGGAAUUUCAGGUGUAGCGGUGAAAUGCGUAGAGAUGCGGAGGAACACCGAUGGCGAAGGCAGCCCCCUGGGCUAAUACUGACGCUGAGGCACGAAAGCGUGGGGAGCAAACAGG
rnacentral:rRNA from 1 species